CUUUGCAUAUGUGGAAGGGGAAAGUCUGCUGAUGGCACUGAAGGACGUUGCCUUAUCCUCAGGGAGUGCCUGCACCUCUGCAUCCCUGGAGCCCUCUUAUGUGCUUAGAGCAAUUGGCACUGAUGAGGAUUUAGCGCACUCUUCUAUCAGGUUUGGAAUUGGCCGCUUCACUACAGAGGAGGAAGUGGACUACACAGUGGAGAAAUGCAUUCAGCAUGUGAAGCGUCUUCGAGAAAUGAGCCCUCUCUGGGAGAUGGUUCAGGAUGGCAUUGACCUCAAGAGCAUCAAGUGGACCCAACACUAGAAGAAUAGGGCCCUGACUUUGUGCUGGUCUGGCCCCUCCUGCCUCACCAACCCGUGCACAACCAGACACCUUGUUACACCUAGUGGAUGCUCUAGAUUGGUAUAGACCAGUUGACUUCAGCAUCAGUCCACCUCUAUGACAGAAACACAAGAAAACUGUCUUUCCCUAGCUUCAGUUCCUUGGGUGUGGAGCACUCCCCAUUUCUUCUCGGGUCUUAAAGUGUGUGGACAUUUUCAUCCCGAAGCCAUAGAGACAUUUGCUGUCAUAUUGCUGCUGGGCACAUCUGUGCUGUUGGUGAGGAGAGCAAGAGGAACCAGAAGAAGUCUCUUUGGUCAGGGACCAUGAUGCUCUACAUGGACAUUUGAGUCUUCGUCUUCUGCUGCUGCUCGGCUGGACCAGCUUCUUUAACAGCAAGCAUAAUCCACUUCAAUUUAAUAUUUUCUGUAGCUCCAAAGGCUAUCUCUUCAUAUUGACUGCAGACAGACUGAAUGGACAGUUUCUUAGAGGGCUUGUCUCCUUUCUACCCUUGUCCUCUUUCCUUUCCUUUGACCUAAUGGAGCUAGAAAUAUGUCUAUGACUCCACCAGUUAUUCUAAUAAUUUGUUUUCUUGAAAAUUGUUAAUUUCAUGACUGGAGAAAUAAACUCACCUUCUA
rnacentral:lncRNA from 1 species